rnacentral:rRNA from 1 species
CAUGUUUUUUUGAUUAUAAUUUAAAAUUUGAUCUGCUCAAUGAUUAUUUAAAUUGCCGCAGUAUUUUAACUGUGCAAAGGUAGCAUAAUAAUUAGUUUCUUGAUUAGAAGCUGGAAUGAAUGAUUGGACGAUAAAAUAACUGUCUCUAUUUAAUUAUUUUAUGAAUUUUAUUUUUAAGUUAAAAAGCUUAAAUUUUAUUAAAAGACGAGAAGACCCUAUAGAGUUUAAUAUUAUUUAGGUUUUUAAUUUUUGGAAUAAUUUUAAAUCGAUUAUUAUUUAGUUGGGGUGACUUGAAAAUUUAUUAAAUUUUUUAAAAUUUUAAUUUUUUAUUUGAAAUUUUAUAAUCUAUAUUUUUAAAUUUAAAAUAAAUUACCUUAGGGAUAACAGCGUAAUUUUUCUUUAAAGUUCUUAUUGAAAGGAAAGGUUGCGACCUCGAUGUUGGAUUAAAAUUAAUUCUAGG